AUCCCCGAGGGGGAAAGAUUUAUCGCUAUUAGAUGAGCCUACGUUAGAUUAGCUAGUUGGUGAGGUAAUGGCUUACCAAGGCUAUGAUCUAUAGCUGGUCUGAGAGGACGAUCAGCCACACUGGAACUGAGAUACGGUCCAGACUCCUACGGGAGGCAGCAGUGGGGAAUAUUGGACAAUGGGCGAAAGCCUGAUCCAGCUAUGCCGCGUGAGUGAAGAAGGCCUUCGGGUUGUAAAACUCUUUCAAUAGGGAAGAUAAUGACGGUACCUAUAGAAAAAGUCCCGGCAAACUCGGGAUCCCGAC
rnacentral:rRNA from 1 species